rnacentral:rRNA from 1 species
GCACAUCCUAUUGCCUUAUUCAACUUACUGUACUUAAGUAAAUUUACUNAAUAAAUCCACCUUCACCUGAGUUUUAAGCCUAAAAUCCGUAUUUCUAUUAAAAAUUGUAGCUCAUCACUGCCCUUUUAUAAACUGCACCUUGACCUGAAGUAAGAAAAAUAUUUUUCCUGAAAACGUUCUUUUAAAGUAAUCUGACAACGGCGGUAUACAAGCUUAACAAAAAAGGGUAAGAUAAAAUGGGGACUAUCAAUUAUAGGACAAGCUCCUCUAUUAGGAAUAAGAAUGCCGCCAAAAUCUUUGGGUUUGAAGAACAAC